GCCUUCUGCCAUGACUGGAAGCUUCCUGAGCCCUCCCCAAAAUCAGAAGCCUGCUAUGGUUCCUCUACAGCCUGCAGAGCUGUGAGCCAACUAAACCUCUUUUUUUUUUUUUUUUGAGAUGGAAUCUCACUCUGUCAUCAGGCUGGAAUGCAGUGGCACAAUCUCGGCUCACUGCAACCUCUACCUCCCAGGUUCAAGCGAUUCUCCUGCCUGAACUGGUUGUGAUUUUCCUGCUUCUUGGUUUGAUGAAUAAUUUUCAACUCUACCCUGGAUAUUUUGGAUACUAAUUUUGAGACUCUGGAUCCUCUGCAAUCUCCUUGUGUUUACCCAGUAGUCCCUGCUGAGAUGCAGCAUGAAAGCUUAUGAUUGUGAAUUCUGCUUCCCAUGGGUCCUGUCAACACCAUCUCAGCAAACAUGGAACCAGCAGAAGGAGAGACUGGGAAGAUCUGUCCCCUUGUGCAGAGGCAGCAUGCAAGCACACGAGCCCAAACCCCAUGAGGAGCUCCUGCUGCAACUGGGGGCAGUUUCUUCAUAAAAGAUGCGGAGCCAAAGUCUUAUCGGGAAAGAAGUAAAGAAAGGCCACGUGACUUCUCCAGUGUCACUUCCACUUCAGCCCACUGGCCCUGCCAGUCCUUGGAGAGGCCAGGCUCAGCCCUGCCCUAGGGCCUCUGCACUGGUCUUUCCCUCUGCCCAAGAUGCCCUUUGCUCAGAAGUCUAUGUGGCUACGUCCUUACCUCCUUUAAGGCUUUGUUCAAGUCUUCCUACUGAUGCCUGCCCUGACCACUGCCCUCCCCAAGGCCUCCAGUCCCCUGAAACCUGCUCUGCCCUCUCCCAUGGCACCAAUUCCCUCUGAUAGCCCAUAUAAUUCUGUUAUUUAUUAUGGGCAUUGUCUGUCCCCCACUUCUUUGACUUAUGAAGACAAAGGUCAUUCUUUUGUCCACUGAGGGGUUCUGAGCACUAGAAAUGAUGCUUGGUGCACAGUAGGCACUCAAUAAGUAUUUGUCUGAUAAGCGAAUGAAUGAAUGAAUGAGUGAAUGAGCAGUGGCUAUCAGGUUACUUCAGAUACAAGGAUGGAGCACCCAGGGGUUCUUCACAAAGAUGGGGUGCCCAGCGGGUUGCCCCUCACUUUCCACAGCAGGAAGCCUGGCCCUGCAUUGAUGCGAGUCCCCUAGAGGUGCCCAGUUUCAGUUCCACCGAGGGAGGUGUGCCACCAGGGCCAAGUAAUGCCAUCACAGACAUUGAGUUGGAGAGGGAAGACCCACCAGCUGCUCACAGUACAACUGCCAGGAGAGAGAGGGCUGGAGGGACGAAAGGAGAUAUUACAUCUUACUCUAUUUUAUUUUGAAUUGCUGGGAUUUUAGCAUUUAACAAAUAUUACUUUUUUGAUAAAAUAAUUCACAAUUUAUUUAUAUAAACAAUUUUAACUUCAGAUCUACUGCCUAGUAACCCCCUUGCAGGAAAUUGAUGUUUACUCUAACCAGUGACAUGUUUUGCAGUGCUUUCUUAAGGUGAAAUUCACAUUUCAAACCCUUUAGAGCCUGUAGCACAACUGCUGACAAAAAGAACCCAACUGGCUCUUUUCUUGCCUUCUAUCCUCUGUGACUGGCAUCUGCUUCCACUUAGAUUUGACAUAGCACCAUUGCUUCCCCAACUCAUCCUCAAGAAACCCAGGGGAAGCAGUGCUAAGAUUAUGGGCUUAUUGGAAAGCAAUCUACCCUGAUUAUACCCUUAGCCAGGCUGACAUUCAGCUAUAAAUACCCACGUUGCCAAAUGGAUUAUAAAACACCACUACAAUUCUGUAUUCAUAGGUACCUUGCUGCAGCUUCUAAGCCCUCCAGAUUCCUCCACCACCCGCCCUGCCCUCCCUAUCCUCCCAUGACCCAGCCACUGAAGGGAGAACAGGGCCCAGCAGGGAUGGCUUUUAGGACAGCAUCCGCCUGUUCUGACGGGUCAGCGCCCAUGCCGGGCUGGUUGUUCGAUAGUUUGAAUAGCCCUCUGCCCAUUUAACCUCCCUUUUCUUCUAAUGUUCAGAGCUCUUUAGUCUCAUACCUUUUCUCUCUUUCAACCACACCACU
rnacentral:lncRNA from 10 species